CAUUGUUGUGAUAGUUUAGCUUUGUUACAUGUUUCGUUGUAAGCUUCUUGGAUUAGGAGGGGAUGUUAAGUAAUAAUCCAAGUUAGCAGUAGUAGUUAGUUAGUGGGCCUGGUUAAAUGUAAAAGCCCAGUGGAGUGUGAGCCCAAGUUAUGGGUUGUAUAUAGCUGCAUAUUGCAGUGUUGUGUAACUAAUGAAUCAAUAAUCAGUUUUCAUUUGUUAUCUCUAAUAUUCCAGCACUCUCUCUUUCUCUCUCGUUCUGUUAUUCUUCUCUGAACUCCAACAGAGCUUCUUCACCUUCCACACUCCAUAUUCGAUUCUUCAUCUGAUCUGAUUCCAUGUUACCGAUCAAGGAGGAAGCUUGAAAUACCCAGUUCGUCGUCUUCCGAUCUUCGUAUUUCGUAGGGGAGGGACCAUUUUCGUUCAAUCUUUUCCGUCUUUCAUUUUGGUUCUCAUUCACCGAUCAAGGAACAAGGUUAAGGGAUACACUGACAGUCUCUCCCGACAAAUAAUUUUCAUAGGGUUCGAUAUUAUGAUCUUGGCUUUUGAGGGAUAUCUUGGCUGUUGAUUGCAUUUUGGUGGGCUUUAGCUUCUGCUGCAUAAGCAUACCUCCUGUUGUUUUCUGUCCUUCGAGUGUGACAAUUAGUCAGAUGCAUUGUUCCUGCCUUUCUGCAUAAUUUGCAUUUUGCCGUGCAGAGUCUUGUUACUUGGUGGGGGUACUGGAGAAUAAAAUUGGUUGGGGUGAUUGUUUGUGUAUUUGUUUGUUGGGUAGUUGGGUUAUAUCCCAUUAUGUGGUCUGGAAGGUGAUUUAAUAGUAGAUGGGUAAGGCCUCAUAAUCUCUUAGUUUGGAGGGGUGUGUCUCAUAUUGGUACUUUUGUAUUAUCUUACUUUUCAGUUUUGUCCCCUUUCUCUCUUUUACUAUGUAUUAUGGGUUGGAGUACCCCUUGUACUCCCUUUAAUACAUUCUUUGCCUAUCAA